GACUAACGCUGGCGGCGUGCUUAACACAUGCAAGUCGAACGGAAAGGCCCUGCUUUUGUGGGGUGCUCGAGUGGCGAACGGGUGAGUAACACGUGAGUAACCUGCCCUUGACUUUGGGAUAACUUCAGGAAACUGGGGCUAAUACCGGAUAGGAGCUCCUGCUGCAUGGUGGGGGUUGGAAAGUUUCGGCGGUUGGGGAUGGACUCGCGGCUUAUCAGCUUGUUGGUGGGGUAGUGGCUUACCAAGGCUUUGACGGGUAGCCGGCCUGAGAGGGUGACCGGCCACAUUGGGACUGAGAUACGGCCCAGACUCCUACGGGAGGCAGCAGUGGGGAAUAUUGCGCAAUGGGCGGAAGCCUGAUGCAGCAACGCCGCGUGCGGGAUGACGGCCUUCGGGUUGUAAACCGCUUUCGCCUGUGACGAAGCGUGAGUGACGGUAAUGGGUAAAGAAGCACCGGCUAACUACGUG
rnacentral:rRNA from 1 species